rnacentral:lncRNA from 1 species
GCCUCACUGUGCGUGCAGAUGCACACACACCUGCCUGCUGCCAUUCCUGAGCAAGCUCUGUACUGGUGGUGCCCCGAUCCUGCAGCUGAAUCAACUUUAGGAGACGGUCCUGGCGCUUGCUGGACUUUCUUGGGCGCCCUGAAGCCUUCUUCACAACAAUUUAACCGCUCUCCUUGAAGUUCUUGAUGAUCCGAUAAAUGGUUGAUUUAGGUGCAAUCUUACUGGCAUCAAUAUCCUUGCCUGUGAAGCCCUUUUUGUGCAAAGCAAUGAUGACGGCACGUGUUUCCUUGCAGGUAACCAUGGUUGACAGAGGAAGAACCAUGAUUCCAAGCACCACCCUCCUUUUGAAGCUUCCAGUGUGUUAUUCGAACUCAAUCAGCAUGACAGAGUGAUCUCCAGCCUUGUCCUCGUUAACACUCACACCUGUGUUAACGAGAGAAUCACUGACAUGAUGUCAGCUGGUCCUUUUGUGGCAGGGCUGAAAUGCAGUGGAAAUGUUUUUGGGGGAUUCAGUUCAUUUGCAUGGCAAAGAGGGACUUUGCAAUUAAUUGCAAUUCAUCUGAUCACUCUUCAUAACAUUCUGGAGUAUAUGCAAAUUGCCAUCAUACAAACUGAGGCAGCAGACUUUGUGAAAAUUCAUAUUUGUGUCAUUCUCAAAACAUUUGGCCAUGACUGUACAUGCUGUUUCUUGUCUUGCUGACAAUAGUGUCAUCCAUUGCCUUGAACAGGGAGGAACUCAUGGAAGCCAUGGCUGUCCUUCAGCUUGGCAGUCUUUGGACCCUUCCAGAAGGCAACUAACUUAGCCAUCUCAGCAACACUUAAUAAGGCCACAUUGGCAUUGAUGAAACAACCUUUGAGGACUCCUUCAAUGACAAAUCCCUCAAAUAUCAAGUCAUGGGUUCUACUUUGUGUACGAUAAUGCUGACCUACUGCAUCUGUAGCUACACCCCAGAUUUGGGCCUGGCAAAAACAUGUGCGGCUGUCACGUCCUGACCAGUAAAGGGGUUAUUUGUUAUAUUAGUUUGGUCAGGACGUGGCAGGGGGUAUUUGUUUAGAGUGUUUCGGGGUUUGUUGGGCUAUGUGUUUUGUAGAGGGGUGUUUGAUUAGAGUGUUCCGGGGUUUUGGUUUAUGUUCUAUGUUAGUAUAUAUUCUAUGUUCUAGUCUUUCUAGUUCUAUGUUUAGUUUAUUGAUUUGGCCUUCAAUUGGAGGUAGCUGUUCCUCGUUGCCUCUGAUUGAAGGUCCUAUGUAUAGGGGUGUUUUGGUAAUGGGAAUUGUGGGUAGUUAUUUCCUGUUUAGUGUAUGUAGCACCUGACGGGACUGUUUAGUGGCAUUCGUUCGUUUUUGUAUACCUGUUUCUUUAGUUUUUUUCUUCUUUUAUAAUAAAUAAGAAGAUGAGUAUACAUUUUCCCGCUGCACCUUGGUCUACUUCAUACGACGGCCGUUACAGAACUACCCACCACAAACGGACCAAGCAGCGGGGUAAGGAGCUGGAGAGGAAUUAUGACGCAGCGAGAGUCGCUCUACAGUCCGGAGUCGACGCAGCGAGAGUCGCUCUACAGUCCGGAGUCGACGCAGCGAGAGUCGCUCUACAGUCCGG